UACGUAGGUGGCGAGCGUUGUCCGGAAUUAUUGGGCGUAAAGGGAGCGCAGGCGGGAAGGUAAGUCUAUCUUAAAAGUGCGGGGCUCAACCCCGUGAGGGGAUAGAAACUAUUUUUCUUGAGUGCAGGAGAGGAAAGCGGAAUUCCUAGUGUAGCGGUGAAAUGCGUAGAUAUUAGGAGGAACACCAGUGGCGAAGGCGGCUUUCUGGACUGUAACUGACGCUGAGGCUCGAAAGCCAGGGGAGCGAACGGG
rnacentral:rRNA from 1 species